UAGCGAAAUUCCUUGUCGGGUAAGUUCCGACCCGCACGAAAGGCGUAACGAUUUGGGCACGGUCUCAACAACAGACUCGGUGAAAUUGUAAUUCCGGUGAAGAUGCCGGAUACCUGCGACAGGACGGCAAGACCCCAUGGAGCUUUACUGUAGCUUGACAUUGGGGCUUGGUACUACAUGUACAGGAUAGGUGGGAGGCUUUGAAACCAGGACGACAGUUUGUGCCUAGACAUCAGUGGGAUGCAGACCUUCGUG
rnacentral:rRNA from 1 species